rnacentral:rRNA from 1 species
GAUGAACGCUAGCGGCAGGCCUAAUACAUGCAAGUCGAACGGUGUCUUCGGGCAUAGUGGCGCACGGGUGCGUAACACGUAUGCAACCUACCUUACAUUGGGGGAUAGCCUUUCGAAAGGGAGAUUAAUACCGCAUAAGACAGUAGCUGGGCAUCCAGCAGCUGUUAAAGAUUUAUCGAUGUAAGCUGGGCAUGCGUCCAAUUAGCUAGUUGGUGAGGUAACGGCUCACCAAGGCUAUGAUUGGUAGGGGAACUGAGAGGUCAAUCCCCCACACUGGCACUGAGAUACGGGCCAGACUCCUACGGGAGGCAGCAGUAGGGAAUAUUGGGCAAUGGACGCAAGUCUGACCCAGCCAUGCCGCGUGCAGGAUGAAGGCGUUAUGCGUUGUAAACUGCUUUUAUACAGGAAGAAACGACUCUUGCGAGAGGCAUUGACGGUACUGUAUGAAUAAGCACCGGCUAACUCCGUGCCAGCAGCCGCCGUAACAC